UCUGGCCAUCCUCCUCUCCGAUAUCUAUAUGCCUGCCUCCUCGUCGUCAGGCCGCUGCAGCAGAAGAACACAGCCGCCGUCGUGCUCAGGAUCCCUAUCGGUGCAUACCCGCUGCUCGAUCCACCUUAUCUCGCAACUUCCUCCAAGGCACGAAAGUCUGGGUCAGUGCGCCGCCAUGUGAGAGGGAGAUGGAGAGGCGGAUGCGCCGCCUGGCCGUCCCCGACGGCGGCAUCCUCAUCAACAUGCCCGCCGACGGGGCCACCUGUGGCGAGACCAUCGAGGACGGCCCUGACGAAAUCUCCACCAAUGGCUCCCAUUCAUCGCGCUCCCUCAAGGAAUUCCUAGCUGCCCCGUGAUCGUCUUCAUCAAUGAGUCUAGCGCCGUCUCCUUCCCUAUAACCGCCCCGGGCACCCCAUGCAGGCCGCACCCGACGGAGAUCGAGAGCCGCUUCCGCACUGGCUCCACUUGGCUCCCGGGCCUCCAGGCCAUCGUGGAUCUCGCCAAGAUUGCCUCCUCGCUGCUGCCCUAGGAGGAGGGCGAGGUGAAGGGAGCCUCGCGGGUCACCAUGGAGGUGGUCGCAUUUAGCAGGACGCCGCCACUCUGGACUUCGCCCUUCACCCAACGAUGCGGACACCGAAGAUUUUGACAUGACUUAUGUGCAACAAGACCACACACUUGCUGUGUAGAGCUGGCUGAUGUGAGGAUUGACCUCUGCCUGAGCCAAAUGAGUGUGGGUUGCUUUGCAGUUAUCUUGAAUGGGAUUCCAAAAAGUUUCAGGAGGACUCUUCAAUUCUGAUUUCAAUUCACAUCACCAUGGGGGCUGAAGCUGCUGCACGGACACUAGCAAUAAGGGAUAUUUAGAGAUUCAAUAGACACUCGCAGUUGUCAUCUGAGAACAUGUGGAAAUGUUAUAUUAUCUACUUGCUCACUGGUGUGCAUCAUGUCUUGGUUUAUGGCUUUGUGCAUAAUUGGUCAAUGAACAAAACGAUAUUUCUUUGUU